AGAUGGACUUUUUUUUUUGGUACAACUCAAAGAUGGACUUUAAUUCAUGGAAAAUUUGGAAAUAUGAAUCAUAAUAUGUGGGAUCUUGUUCCUUAUUGGUUGAAAAAUUGGGACCCACUAUUUUGUUGCUUCCAUGGACCAAUCACAAUUCACAAAUUAAUAAAAAUGCAAUUUUUAAGAAACCUUUGAGUCUUUCUUCCUUCUUCAGUGUUACUCUCUUCAAGCUUCCGUCACUUCUCUCUUCUCCUUGAUCUUGGUAUGUUCUCUUCUUCCCAUUAACCCUUUUCAAUUUUUCCAAAUCUUAUUUUUAACAAAACCCUAGAUUAAUGAAUAAAUCCUAAUCUGUUUUUAAAUUUUUAUUUCAUGUGAUAUGGUUUAAAAUAGCUAAUUGAUUGGUUGAAUUGAAUCAAUUGAUGAACUUUACAAUUUCAAUUUCAGUGUUAAUCCCUACAUUUGCCUUAUUGAGUUUAUUGAAACUAUGCAUGCAUUGUUUAUGCAAUUGUUAUAAAGGAUUGUUUUUUCUUCAUUUUUUAUUUUGUAUAAUCACUUCUUAGUGUAUGUUUGGUUCUGCGGCGAGAAAAAAUGAUUUUGAGUGAAUUGAUUCUGGCUAAAAUUGAGUUGAAGGUAUAGUGGUUUAUGUUUGGAUACAUUUACAAGGAAUACCAUUUUGUACUGAUGGCAUUGAAGCGGGAAAACCCCAGGUUUUUCAAUUUGGUCUGCCAAUUACCGUUUUACCCUUUUGGUGGAAAGCAUUGGCUUGUGCACACUGCACAAGAGCUGGACGGUUCACACUGCAGAAUUGACAAAUUGCAUUGCUGAAUGCUGAAGGUUUGAAAUGCGGGGUCAUCAUUACAAACCCUUGUGAAUCACUUUCUUCUAUAUAAGUUGACAUUAGGAGUCAUGAUUCAAAGAAAAAAACUCAGUUCACAUGUUUAGUGUCUGCAUCACUCCACCGCCCUUGGUCAACAAUUCAUUGAUUGUUGUUCCUGCUUCUUCAUUUCUCUUAAAGCUCUCACUCAGUUUCCAAAUCUCUUCCUCCCCCAACCCAAAAAAAACCUCUCGUCUGAAGCACUCCACCGUAGACUGUCCGCGACCAUUCCGAAUGUCGCCUUCCUUUCAUCCAUCGUGACUGGCUCGUAUUUGGGAGAGAAGAAAAUAAAAAACAAGAUGAAGGUGUUACAUGACUAGAGAACAAGGGCAAUUUGAGGAUCGUGAAUCUGAUAUAAGAGGGAAAUCGAUGGUUCCUUCACCACCAUGACUGGAUUUCAGAAAUCCUUCAUCUCAGCAACACGGGUACAAGGAGACGCGAUGGAGGCUGUCUGGUCAUUUUAAAAAGAAGAAUGGAAAAAAGAAGAAAGUCAUUGACAUUGCUCUUGAGGAUGUAGACCUUUCCAGUCUUGAGAUCUUGGCUUAAGAAGAAUUGUCUACCUGGUAAUGAAGUCUCCCUCUUCAGAUGAGCUUACAAAUUCUCAUGCAGCUUAUUUCAUAAUAAAGGAACGCAUCUUUUUCUAUGUAAGUGCUUUCUCCGCUUGCUAUUCAAUAAUGAUAUAUAAUCUGGUUUUUAAUUAUGGAGUCCAUGCAGCAGAAUUUCGUCAUGGCAGAAGAACUCGUAUAUUUUUUUUUCUUGCAUGUAAUUGUGCCAUUCCUUUAAUUGUCUGUUUUUACGCUACUUAAGAGCAGGAUAUCAAUGCUUACUUAUGCAAGAAUGUCCGUUGUGUUGAUUUAUCCAAGUUCAUUGUUUGAAUGAAUGUUUUAACGAGAAUAUAGUGCACACAGGUCUUGGUUGAUGGCGCCAAUGGUAAGGUACUUAUGUCAAUCAUGUAGACAGAUGCAAGUAGUAAAAUAACAUAGGGUCUGAAUGGAGUGACUGCACUUGCAUGUGUAUACUUCAUUUGAGAGUCAUGAUCACAAUCUUUACUCAGCUCAAUUGUUGCUGUUUUUUUCUUUGGUUGUAAUUCUUUGUGCAGCAUGAUUCAUUGAAAUGUACAGCCAUUUGAAAUUCAGUUUAUCUUUCAUUGUAUGAAGUGGAUUCAAGCAAUAUUGUCGGUAUAAAUAGCCUGAAUUAAUAUCAGAAACAUAACAUGAAUUCCACCUGUGUUUGGGAUGCACACAAAAGCUUACUAUUAUGAUACAAAUACAUGUUUGUUGUUAGUGUUUUCUUUAUUGUUAUAACUCAGACUGUGAACAAUUGUAGAGCAUACGUUUAGCAAGGGUUUCUCUAAAUUGUGAUUAGAGGUUUAUUAUAGAUGAUAGACAUAAUUAUAUGCAUCAAAGAUGGCAGUAUCAGAACAAAAUUAUUUUAAUUGGCUAUCAACUAUGCAUUUGCAAUACUGGCCCUCUCUUAUUAACUUCUUCUAAAACUAUUCAUGGAGUAAUUGUUGUGGGAAUGGUUUAGAGAAAUUAUGGCGGUUUGAAUGAUGGGUUGUUUCUACUUAGUUUGUGUUUAUAUUGAUAUGUACGGUGGAGAUCUAUGGUAGAAAGCUAUGGCAUGUUAAUUGGCAAUUAAUAGGGUAGUU